GACGAACGCUGGCGGCGUGCCUAAUACAUGCAAGUCGAGCGAAGUUUUUCUGUUGCUUGCACUAGAAAAACUUAGCGGCGAACGGGUGAGUAACACGUAAAGAACCUGCCUCAUAGACUGGGACAACUAUUGGAAACGAUAGCUAAUACCGGAUAACAGUAUUUCUCGCAUGAGAGAUAUUUAAAAGUUGGUUAUGCUAACACUAUGAGAUGGCUUUGCGGUGCAUUAGCUAGUUGGUGGGGUAAAGGCCCACCAAGGCGACGAUGCAUAGCCGACCUGAGAGGGUGAUCGGCCACACUGGGACUGAGACACGGCCCAGACUCCUACGGGAGGCAGCAGUAGGGAAUCUUCCGCAAUGGGCGAAAGCCUGACGGAGCAACGCCGCGUGAGUGAAGAAGGAUUUCGGUUCGUAAAGCUCUGUUGUUAGGGAAGAAUGGAUAUGUAGUAACUAUACAUGUAAGAGACGGUACCUAAACAGAAAGCCACGGCUAACUACGUG
rnacentral:rRNA from 1 species